GACGAACGCUGGCGGCGUGCUUAACACAUGCAAGUCGAACGGGUCUGCCCUGUUUUUUGCGGGGUGGGUCAGUGGCGAACGGGGGAGUAACACGUGAGUAACCUGCCCCUCACUUCUGGAUAACCGCUUGAAAGGGUGGCUAAUACGGGGUGUUCUGGCUGUGCCGCAUGGUGUGGCUGGGAAAGAUUCACUUUUGUGGUGUUUUGGUGGGGGAUGGGCUCGCGGCCUAUCAGCUUGUUGGUGGGGUGAUGGCCUGCCAAGGCUUUGACGGGUAGCCGGCCUGGGAGGGUGGGCGGUCACGCUGGGGCUGAGCUACGGCCCAGCCUCCUGCAGGCGGCAGCAGUGGGGGGUAUUGCACAAUGGGCGGCAGCCUGAUGCAGCGACGUCGCGUGAGGGAUGGAGGCCUUCGGGUUGUGAACCUCUUUCGCCGGUGAAGAAGGUCCUGCUCUUUGUGGUGGGGUUGACGGUAGCCGAGUUAUGAAGCGCCGGCUAACUACGUG
rnacentral:rRNA from 1 species